UGGGGAAUAUUGCACAAUGGGCGCAAGCCUGAUGCAGCCAUGCCGCGUGUGUGAAGAAGGCUUUCGGGUUGUAAAGCACUUUCAGUUGGGAGGAAGGGGUUUUCAUUAAUAUUGAAGAUCAUUGACGUUACCAACAGAAGCAGCACCGGCUAACUCCGUGCCAGCAGCCGCGGUAAUACGGAGGGUGCAAGCGUUAAUCGGAAUUACUGGGCGUAAAGCGCGCGUAGGCGGUUAAUUAAGCUGGAUGUGAAAGCCCAGGGCUCAACCUUGGACGUGCAUCCAGAACUGAUUGACUUGAGUACAGUAGAGGUGAGUGGAAUUUCCUGUGUAGCGGUGAAAUGCGUAGAGAUGGGAAGGAACAUCAGUGGCGAAGGCGACUCACUGGUCUGAUACUGACGCUGAGGUGCGAAAGCGUGGGUAGCGAACAGGAUUAGAUACCCCCGUAGUCC
rnacentral:rRNA from 1 species